CCCUUCUACAAAAUCCCUGCAGCCCUACACACACAUUUACAGGCAGACAGUCACACACUCAGUUACAGACAGACAGUCACACACUCAGUUACAGGCAGACAGUCACACACAGUCACAGGCAGACAGUCACACAUACACAUUUCCUCCGUGCGGCCAGUUUAUCAGCUGUUUGCUUGAGUGAGCUGUACUGGCCGCACGGCACCCUAACUACCAUGGGACACUGUGCGGCCACAGCUCACACAGCCCCCUCCAGCCAGGGCCGGUACAAGGAUUUUUGCCGCCCUAGGCAAAAGUAAAGUUUGCCGCCCCCCAUGUGACAUCACAAUGCCCCAACCAUAUGAUUUGCCAUGUUAACUAAUGCCAGUGCUGCAGUGCCGCCGUGUUUACAUUAAAAGGCCUGCAGGGACAGGCUAUAGACACCAGAACCACUAUAUUAAGCUGAAGUGGUUCUGGGGACUAUAGUGUUUCUUUAAUGUGAGGUAAAUUAGAGCUUAGUGCCACGAAUAAUAUACUAGAUUGCCUACUUACAACCAGAUGAGGAUGAUGAUG